GGGGCUGUUUGGUUUUGACAGCAGGCAGAAAAGGUAUGUAAGCAUGUCGAGCGUCGGAAUGCCGGCUCGUUAAUCCCGGAUUUCAAAACAAUAACUGGCGAAAAUAAUUACGCUCUUGCUGCUUAAUCGAAUAAAGUAGAUUAAACUUAAUCCAGAUACAAGGUAUCAGGACGAGACAUCUCUCAAAUGCCCUCUCCCCGAGGCGAUUUGAUACAGAGGUGCGGACAAAUCGGGGAUAGCUGGUCGUAGCCUUGUACGGGCAGCGAAAUAACAAAGGAUAAGGCAGCAGUUGGUAGCUUUGGUCUUGCUGCAGCACGAAAAUCAAAGCAAAGAUAAGCAUGUAGAAAGCAUAUUGUUUCCUUGUUUGGACGAGGGUUCGACUCCCUCCAGCUCCACUU
rnacentral:tmRNA from 1 species